rnacentral:rRNA from 1 species
UGAACGCUGGCGGCAGGCCUAACACAUGCAAGUCGAGCGGAUGAAGAGAGCUUGCUCUCUGAUUCAGCGGCGGACGGGUGAGUAAUGCCUGGGAAUCUGCCUGAUAGUGGGGGACAACAGUUGGAAACGGCUGCUAAUACCGCAUACGUCCUACGGGAGAAAGCAGGGGAUCUUCGGACCUUGCGCUAUCAGAUGAGCCCAGGUCGGAUUAGCUAGUAGGUGGGGUAAAGGCUCACCUAGGCGACGAUCCGUAACUGGUCUGAGAGGAUGAUCAGUCACACUGGAACUGAGACACGGUCCAGACUCCUACGGGAGGCAGCAGUGGGGAAUAUUGGACAAUGGGCGAAAGCCUGAUCCAGCCAUGCCGCGUGUGUGAAGAAGGUCUUCGGAUUGUAAAGCACUUUAAGUUGGGAGGAAGGGCUGUAGGCUAAUAUCCUGCAGCUUUGACGUUACCGACAGAAUAAGCACCGGCUAACUCUGUGCCAGCAGCCGCGGUAAUACAGAGGGUGCAAGCGUUAAUCGGAAUUACUGGGCGUAAAGCGCGCGUAGGUGGCUAAGCAAGAUGGGUGUGAAAUCCCCGGGCUCAACCUGGGAACUGCUUUCAUAACUGCUUGGCUAGAGUACGGUAGAGGGUAGUGGAAUUUCCUGUGGUAGCGGUGAAAUGCGUAGAUAUAGGAAGG